GGCGAUGUGGUGCAAAGGGAGCACAGCAGCUCUGUUAAGAAGAAUGUCAUGUUAGUGGCAUAAUCAGCAAACUCCUUUCAAUAACAAUCCCAAGCUGCGGAUAGAGGUUCGAUUCCUCUCAUCGUCU
rnacentral:tRNA from 5 species